rnacentral:rRNA from 1 species
GACGAACGCUGGCGGCGUGCCUAACACAUGCAAGUCGAACGGAACUCUUUGGAUCAAGGCUUCGGCCAAGUGAAUUUGAGUUUAGUGGCGAACGGGUGAGUAACGCGUGAGCAACCUGCCUUUCAGAGGGGGACAACAGUUGGAAACGACUGCUAAUACCGCAUAACGCAUAGAGAUCGCAUGGUCUUUGUGCCAAAGAUUUAUCGCUGAAAGAUGGCCUCGCGUCUGAUUAGCUAGUUGGUGAGGUAACGGCCCACCAAGGCGACGAUCAGUAGCCGGACUGAGAGGUUGACCGGCCACAUUGGGACUGAGAUACGGCCCAGACUCCUACGGGAGGCAGCAGUGGGGAAUAUUGGGCAAUGGGCGCAAGCCUGACCCAGCAACGCCGCGUGAAGGAAGAAGGCUUUCGGGUUGUAAACUUCUUUGUCAGGGAAGAGUAGAAGACUGUACCUGGCGAAUAAGCCACGGCUAACUACGUG